rnacentral:misc_RNA from 1 species
GUGAGUCAUCGAAUCUUUGAACGCACAUUGCGCCUCUCGUGAGGGAGGCAUGCCUGUCUGAGCGUCGUUUAAAUCUCUAGGCUCCAUCUGAUGGUGCCUGUCUUGGGCCUCGCCCUGUGUGGCGUUGUCUGAAUGUCAUUGGUCUAACCUGUGGACGAGUCCCGGUAGGGCGGACCACAGGGGGGGACCCUAAGCCUCUCUGAACCCGACCUCAGAUCAGGUAGGAACACCGCCUGAACUUAAGCAUAUCAAUAAGCGGAGGA